rnacentral:rRNA from 1 species
AUGGACUCCUCCACCGCGGUGGCGGCGCCGCUGCUGGAGGCCGGCGGCAAGGAGAUGCGGCACCUGGGCCGCACCGCGCACAACAUGUCCUCCUCCUCCCUCCGCAAGAAGUCCGACACCUCGCUCGUCCGCAAGUUGCCCUGCGCCGCGCUCCGAGGCUUCCUCUCCACCCUCCAGGAGGUGCUCUUCGGCACAAAGCUCUUCGUCCUCUUCCCCGCCGUCGUCCUCGCCGUCGUCGCCAGAUACAUGCGCUUCGGCCAGGUGUGGCUCUUCGUGCUUAGCUUAAUUGGGCUAAUUCCUCUUGCAGAGCGACUCAGUUUCUUGACGGAACAGAUCGCUUUCUACACAGGUCCCACUGUUGGUGGACUGUUGAAUGCGACGUUCGGCAACGUCACCGAGGUUAUCAUCGCGCUAUUCGCCCUGAGGGAAGGCAAGAUAACGGUGGUGAAAUGCUCCCUGCUCGGCUCCAUCUUGUCCAACUUGCUGCUUGUCCUCGGCACCUCCCUCUUUUUUGGUGGGCUGGCAAACCUCGGUGUCGAGCAGCCAUACGACAGAAAGCAAGCAGAUGUCAGCACAGGGCUUCUAAUUCUUGGUGUGCUAUGCCAAUCAAUGCCGCUGAUGCUGAGGUAUGCAGUAAGCGCCGGUGAGCAUGCAGUAAACUCCGACGAUUCAGGAUUGGUGCUAUCCCGGGCGUGCAGCGUUCUCAUGAUCCUGGCCUAUGGAGCCUACCUUUACUUCCAACUGAAGACGCAUCGCCAGCUCUUUGAGCCCCAGGAGGUUGAAGAUGAUGGUGAUGAUUUGGUCUCUGAAGAUGAGGCGGUACUGGGAUUUACAAGUGCGAUGGUUUGGCUAGCAGUCAUGACUGUGAUAACCGCCUUACUGUCAGAGUAUGUCGUUAGCACAAUUGAGGCGGCCUCAGAAUCCUGGGAACUAUCAGUGAGCUUCAUUAGCAUCAUCUUGAUUCCGAUUGUCGGGAAUGCAGCAGAGCAUGCUGGGGCAAUCAUAUUUGCUUUUAAGAACAAGCUGGACAUCACCCUCGGAGUAUCUCUGGGGUCAGCUACGCAGAUUUCCAUGUUUGUGGUGCCACUGAGUGUCCUUGUGGCUUGGGUCAUGGGGGUUCCAAUGGAUCUUGAUUUCAACCUGCUAGAGACUGGUUCUUUGUUCCUCGCAAUAUUGGUCACAAGCUUCACCCUCCAGGACGGGUCGUCGCAUUACCUGAAGGGACUGCUUCUCCUCCUUUGCUACGCCGUGAUCGGCGUGUGCUUUUUUGUCCUGAGACGACGUUCAGGUAGGGAUUCUUGCACUCUCCCUCCCAUUUUUUGCUCAAAUCAUUUGCAACUACUCAUUGUCUCUUCGCAUUUGUUAUGUUUCGAUGACAGCUGA